UUGAAGCGUUACGGUAAGUUAAGACUUUAUGAAUGAAAUGAUCGAAACGUUGUAAGAGUGAAUAGUCAAAGUUGAGAACAGGGAGCAGAGUCCAGAGGUUUACCCAACGUUUGGAGAGAAUUUGGGAUUGAAGAGCUAGUUUGGUGUGUCGAUGAAGGAGAAUAUGUAGAUGAGAAGAACAUCUGGUAAGGAGCUGAGUCUGUCUUGUUGGUCUUCAUGUUCAACAUCGUUGUAGAUGUUGCUGGUAAAGGGGAAAUGGAGAAAUGGUAUGGAGUAAUAAAGUGUGUGUACACUUUUGCAGAGUUGGCUACGUAA
rnacentral:lncRNA from 1 species